CGUUGAGUUAGCUACUGUGAUUCACCUUCUCAAUAGCCAUUGAACUUCUGGAAUGCAGGAAGUUUUCACCCCAACUUGGAGUAAUUCUCUGAUAGAUGAGGUCGCCUCUGGGAUUGUACCGUCUUCUCCAUCAACCCUGCCGCCUACUCCACUGAGUAGCGAAGGUACAGCACCGCGUACUGCCUGCUUCGUUCCUUGGUCGUGCACUCUUGCAUGACCCGAAGUUCUUCACUUACGGCUAUCUUGAUGAGAAACUUGUUGACACCGGUCUUACGAAGUUUCUUGGCCUCUGCCCUUCAGCCUUGUCUCAGUACUUGGAGAUUGCCUCUGCAUGCUCCACCUCCUCGGCCCCUUUCAUGACCAAACGCUCUCCCUCCGUGAGAGCAAGGGAUCUGUGACUUUCACGGAAGUCCCGCCUCUGCGGUACCAUGGCGCUGCCAUGCCCAUGGCACUACUAUCCGUCGCCUCGCCUCUGUAUCCCCUUUCUUCACAAUCAGUAGAUAUGUCUCUGUGGCACUCCUUUGAGUCCACCUCCAUUCUAACUGAUGCUUGAUUUUGGGUAGCUAAGUCCCUCUGGACUCGUCGUCACUUCCUCGCCCCUUUCGAUCCCUGCUUUAACACCUCCGUGUUCUCCAAGCAGUCUGUUUGGUCGAUGGAAAGACAGACUGCAACUCCCAUGCAUGGCCUCUGCCAUCGCGUUGUAGGGUUUGCACCAAUUCUGUUCUCCUUAGCUUCCUUGGUAGCAACGUUCGCUUACUCGACCUUGUCCUCUGACUUGUCGGGCUCCCAUAAGCGAAUAUGAGCUCUGGAGCAGUCCAACUCUCCAGCUGCUUCGAUCAUACCUCUGCAUGAUCAAGUCCCUCCCAUGGAACUCACUAGUACUUGCAUUCGAACUUUUCCCUUGGUGGAACCCAGCCCCCAUAUGCUGAUGACCAAGGUUUUCAUCCGAUGUAAAAUUCGGUGCACGCCCGGAAGACCCGCCUCUGCGGUACCAUGGCCUUCACUCCUUGAAUCCAUAGCCCUUCUUGCCGUCAUGUUGUUCACCAAAGCGGAGCUCCCAGUAGCUCCCGAUCAUACCUCCAUAUGAUCUCAUCCCUCACGGGACUAUGUCGUGUGUGUCGCAUUGCCACGAACUGUUCCACCACGAUCCGCUACACCAUGUCGCCUCCUGGUGACAUCUCCAUUGCAUUCUGAUCCUUGUGGAAUAAACUCAAAUUGUGAACCCUCCAUGUGUGGCCUCUGCCAAUACAUCGCAGGGUCUCCUCCACCUUCGAUUUUGUUCGCUCCUUUGGAAAUCGACCUUCAUCCACCCACUCUUGGGUCACACCUAGAUGAAGCACCGCUCUAGGACAGUCCGUCGCCUAGUAGCUCCCGAAGUCCAUCGACUUCACUGUAAUUUGUGCACCAUUGUCUGGAUCCUGGGCCUCUACCCCUACCAGCACAAUCUCUGCUGCGCACUGCUUCCUUCAUGGCAACUUGAAUGGCAACACUGUGGCAUAUUCUUCAAGAGUACCCGCCUCUGCGUCCUCUUGCCCCGUGCUAAGGUCUUCUGAACUCAACUUCGCCUCUGCAAAUUGAGUCGCCUUAGUUCCUCCAUCAAAUGCACCUCCGAGAUAAGGUGCAUGUGCCCAGAAGCUCCCUUCGUUUUUGGCACCAUGCAAGAUGAGUCCACUCUGACAGAAAGAAGGACCCAUGGAACAACAUGAUCCUACUCUUGCCUCUACAAGAGUUCAUGUCCUUGACCUCUGUCUAAGAAAAGCACUGUGCCUCUGCUCCAUGUUCCAACUUCUAUGCUGGCUCCCUUCAUGCGGCUUGGGAAUUUCGCCAAGUUACACCCAAGUUGCUCCGCUCUUCGUUUUCGCAAUGAGUCGAUGGUGGCCCUCGCUCCCACCAUUCCAUGGGUCAGCCCUCCCUUGAGUCCGAUCUCCACAUCGACUCCAAGUGUGCCUUCAUUUGUGUUGCUCCCCCACUUGAUCUCGCAAUGCAUCCACCAAUGCAUUCUCUCAAGCGAGAUCAUGCGGCGACUCCUCGCCGCUUGCUCAGUCCAUCGAGCUUCGUGGAGUUGUUGUUUAUUGAGGUACUCCUCCUCAACAUGUGAAGUCCGUCUCACAUGAUUCUCCCUCUAGAGAGCUGAGACUUAUCCCUCCUGGAUAACUGUCCCAUUGGAGCAACAUCUCUCUUCGUUUCGGAGACCACCAUCCCCUUGGACUACUCCGAUCUGCUGAGCAAACUGUGCAUUGUUCUGCCUCCUGCAAACGCACUUGCUAGAUUGCGACUCCCCGUCAAUACAGCCCCCGCUGCACCCCUCAAGGCCUAGCAACAUGCUGAACUCAUUGCGCACUUCAGCCUCCUACGGACGUAUCCUUCACAUGCCGAAGAGAAAGUUUCAAUGCUCCAUGGCGCCGAGUCUCGGUCGCCUUGGGAUGGCCAUGAACAUUCCAUCGUCCGCAUACAAGCCCAUGCAUGAGUACCAAAUUCUUCGAGUUAGCAAUUCCCCUCACCUCUGUGAGCUUUGCAUAACUCUUUUGGUCGUUGAGCAACUCUUUCCGCCUUACAUGGUCUCAUUGUUGCCAAGCGCCUCACUUGCCUAGAGCACCAUCAAGUAUAGUUGUCAACGUUGAGCCGUAGCUCAAACUCAGCCAUCCCAACCUUUGUGCGCUCCAGAUUCUUCCAAGCUUGCCUGUUCUCGUGGUGCCUCUUGCGCGAAGGGUUGGCCAUUCCUCUGAAUGCAAAUCUCAGAUGCCCGCUCCUCUGAGCGACUCUUUUCCCUACAUCUCCAUGCCCGUUUUCCCUCAAACGGUCGCGCGUGUGCUGACUGCCCUCAACGCAGCCCUGCUAGGUCCCCCACGUUUGCAUGUCAAGUGUUUCUAUGGGUGCUUG
rnacentral:lncRNA from 1 species